UUCCUUCCUUACUCUGCCCAAAGGUGGGAUGGAACUGGGUUUUGAACCCAAGACUGAAUGAUAUAGGGGCUUUCUCCCCAUACAGCCCACUUAUGCUCACCCUUUUCUUAGCUGCAUUCUGCCUCUUCCAGUGGGCAGAAAAUAAAACACUGUUUUGAUUCUUAUUCAUUAUUUUUUGUGCUUCUAGUUCCCUCAGGAACCCCAAAAGGGAAAAUAGGGGGAGUAGCCAGGCAGGAUUAUGGCAUUCCAAGGCCCCUGACCCUAAUACCAUCAAUUCCAACUUUUAAUCCCAUCGUCUUUCCCUUGUACCAUCAAGGGGUACUUUAGAGCGAAGACUGGGCACGCAGGAGGAGUUGGGAAAUACAGCAAUGGCUAAAUGCCAUUCGGGGGAUAUUUUUAGUUACCUAAAUAAACUGUAUUUCCACAGUGUCUGCAGAACUUAUGGUUUGUGUGCAGUAAAUAAAGUGAUGGAAAUGCCACGAAGAAGCCCAGCCAGAUGACUCCAUUUGUGUGCAUUCUGUUCCAGAGGAGUCCUUUAAACAGCAGACGGGCUCCAUGUGACUCAGCGAAGGCGCACAAGCUGCUCUCCAGCACCGUAGCUUCUCUCCUAUUCCGGUUAUUGCAUGCCCAUCUCACCACACCACACAGUUUCCCAGAGUGGAAUUGCUACGUCAUAUGGUGACUCUAUUUAACUUUGGAUUUGACCAACAGAGUGUAUCAGGCUCUUGGGACCCUGCCACUGCUGCUGUGUGAAGAAGCCCAGGCUCUCCUGCUGGCUGAUCAGAGACCUGUGGCUCAGGGGCUCUUAUUGCGCCAGCUGACAGCCAGCCAACUUCCAAAAGCAGAGACGCCUAGCAGACUAGCAGCUCACUGACAUGGCUCAGCUAAGGAUGGCAGAAGACCAGCAAAAGAAAGGCCCAGCCCAAAUGCCAGCCCACACAACUAUUCUGAGCAAAUUCUGCUAAAUGGGGGACACUUUCAUCUCUAUUUUUGUGGAUAUUGAAAAGUAGAAGACUAUAUGGAUUUAUACAAUUAAUAAUAGGAGUGCCAUCCAAAGGACCUUCCCACAACAAGAUAUCCCAAAAUACAGUAAUAGAAUCUCAAAGUUAAAUCAGAACAAACGUCCGAGCUUUACUUUGAUUUCAAGAAAUAGAUGGAAAAAUAAAAUCAUCAUUGGUAUUAACUGAUUUUCCAUUUGAAACAUCUGAAAUCAUUGAUAAAAAUCUGGCAUCAUUUAACUGUGAAGUUCUUUUCUGCUAAUUGACUUUACACAGUAGCUGCAAUGGUAUGUGCACCAGAACAUUUGGAAUUGAAAAUGGGCAAAUGAAGAGUAAUCCUUUGGUCAAAAUGAAUAGCCUUGUUGCAUAGAGUGCUAGGUCUUCAUGGCUGCUGCUUAAAUUGUUAAAUUGUUAUCUUCAGCUACAGACUUUUUUAAAUGACAAAUUUUGAAGCAGAUACUGAUGCUUCUUUAGUAGGUUUGGUCUUCUGGUUUUCAGGUGGAAAAUGAUAUCAUAAGGACCCUCAUUGUACAUGGUAAAUAGUAACAAAUAUUUUGUGCAAAUUAUAUGUUCAUCAAUACCUUUCUUGAAGAAAGGAAACUCAGUGCUUAAUUUUUUAUUGAACAUGAACUUUCUGUGAGCUCGCUGCUACAAAAGCAUUUAUUGCAAAGUAAAAAAAGCUUUGCCAAACAAUAAAAUAAAUAAGUGGUUGAGAUUUACCCCAUAUCGUAAAUGACAAGAGCACUAUAAAAAGAACAUUCAGACUAUUUUCCACUUACUUUACAGAAGGCUUAUUGUCCAGCCUCUAUUUCCCACACAUAUUUCACAUAGUCUUAACCUAAAUUGUCUUUAGUUCCCACCAGCACCACUAAUUGGUGAACUGACUCGUUUGUGCAUUUCUCAGGCUGAUCACAGACCAUGCACUGCUAGAGGGCUCAUCAGGUGACUAGCUGAGUCAGCAGCAUCAAAUACUUGACUUACCACCGCAGCCCAGUUCUGGAAGGGGUUAGCUGUCCGAGGGAGAUUGUUUGCAGAGAAGGCCACAUCUUUGCAUUUCUCCCAUCAAGAAGUGAAGCCUAUUUCCUCUCCCCUUGAAUCUGGGAUAGCCCUGUGACUUGUUUUGACCAAUAGAAAGUAGUGGAAAUCUCCUUGUGGGAUUUCUGAUCAAGGCGUCAAGAUCCUUUACAGCUUCCUCUUUUACUCUCUGCGUUAUCCUGAGAUCACCAUGGCCAGGCUAGCUUCCUUGUGGAUGAAAGGCCACAUAAUGAGAGAGAAGUCCAGUUGUUAGCCAGUACCAAUUGUCAGACAUGUGAGUGAGACCAUCUUAGGCCAGCAGUUCUCAAAGUGCAGUCUGGUGACUUUUGGUGGUACCGGAGGCCCUUUCAGAGGGUCCAUGAGGUCAAAACUCUUUUCAUAGUAAUACUAAAACAUGUGCCUUCUUUGCUCUCAUUCUCUUGCAAGUGUACAUUAGAGUUUUCCAGGGGCUACAUAAUGUGUGAUGACAUCAUCACUCUGAUGGUUAAUAGAAAAUGUGUGCUUAUGUAUUCUUGUUCUUAAAAACUACCUAUUUUCUAAUAUGGUAAAUAUCAAUAGAUAUAACCCAGUUAAAUGAAAGCUCUUUGUGGUCCUCAACAAUUUUUAAGUGUGUAAAGGGAAUCUCAAGACCAAAAUGUUUGAUCACCAUUGUCUAGACCAUCUAGCACCAUUUGAGCCACCAGAUAACUGUAACCACAUGAGUGACCCCAGACUAGACCAGCAGAGGAACCAUUCAGCUGAGCCCAGCCUAAAUUGCUGACACACAGACUCAUGAGCAAAUAAAAUGGUGGUUGUUUUAAGUCACUAAGUUUUGGGGGUGGUUUGUUAGGCAGUUAUAGAUAACUAAUGCACUGUCUUUAGCUGCUCUAAUCUGAGAGCACUUCAUUUUAUCAGCUAGUGCUCUGCAUGCUGUCCUUAAAAGGGUGGUGGUAAUAAAUCUGUGUCUGGAAAAGACUGGAAAAGAAGCAGUUGGUUAUAAGUAACCAUGUUUAAUAUUUAAUCACUUUUUAAAGGGAGAAUUCUGUUCACUGCCUUUGGGUCUCACAUGCUACUGCGUGAGACCAUUGCAGAAGCUGGAAUUACAAGAUAGAAGUCUAGUAUAUCCAUUCAGCUUAUAUAAAUGCAUCUCUAAAUAGCAUUACUUCUAAAAUAGUGAAGCUCAUAGAAGCAGAGAGUAGAGUGGUAGUUGCCAGGGGCUGGGGGGAGAGAGAAAUGGGGUCAUGUUGGUCAAAGGGUACAAAGUUUCAGUUAUGCAAGAUGAAUAAGUCCUGGGGAUCUAAUGUACAGAAUGGUGAUGACAGUUAACAAUACUGCAUUGUAUACUUGAAAUUUGCUGAGGGGAUAGAUCUUAAAUUAAAUCUUCUUACCCCCCCCCCCACGCACAUACGUACACACACACUGGUGACGAUGUAGAGGUGAUGGAUAUGUUAAUUAGCCUGAUGUGAUGAUCUUUUCACAAUGUAUAGAUGUAUCAAAACAUCAAAUUGUGCACCUUAAAUGUAUGCAAUUUUAAAUGUCAAAAAGUUCUCAAUAAAGCUGUUAGAAAUAGUAUCACUAUAUUAAAAAUGAAAAAUCCAGAACAAAUGCUAAACUUGACAGGAGGCUAGGACAAUAGAUAUAAACUGGCCUGUCCCAAGCCAGAGUAUGUAUGGUUAUUUUAGCUCUAACCUACCAUCAACUGAAUAAUCCUGCCUGUGGUGGCAGUAAUGAUUUUGAAACAUACCAUGAGAAGUAGCAUUGAAUAAAAUUGUAAGUAGCUCAAGAAAUUAAAACACCAAAUGGGUUAGAAAGCAAAAAGGUCACAGUCGGCAUUUAAAGCAUCAUUGAGGGAAGAAUUUCGGGCUCUUUGUGAGCAGGAGGCAAUCAAACAUACCUGGUAGAGAGUAGGCUCUAGCGUCAGCUGACAUGGGUUUAAAUUCUGAUGAAUCUACCACUUAGUAGUUGGGAUUUUGGGCACAUCAUUUAACUCCAUGUGCCCCCUUUUUCCCUCAUCUGUAUCACGGAGAAAAUAAUUACCUAUCUCACAGAGUCCAUGUAAGGAUUAAAUGCAUAAUAUACAUAAUACAUUGAAAACAGUGCCUGGUCAAUAGCAAGUACUCAAUACAUGUUGUUUAUCAUCGUCCUCAGGCUCUUGAGAUAAGCAUUAGCGAAUACAGUGAACACUGGACUAGAAAAACCACAGAUCACAACUAGUAUAACAUUUCUUGUAGUUUAGGUACUUUAUUCUUUUAGGUUAUGUGAUCCAUUAAGCAGUAUUGAUGGACACUGACACUGCCAUUAAUGUUGGGUUGGUAGGUCACUAAAACAUCAACUCAUUUCGUGAAAAUAACCAACCAAACAAAAAACUGUCAUCAUUGGUUGGGUACACAACCAACGUGGCUUAAACAAAUAUUUAAUAUUUUUCACAUGACAAAAAUUCCAGAGUUGGCCAAUCUAGGGCUGGUGGCUCCACAAGGAAACAAAGGCUCCAGGCUCCAUCUCUUUCCUCAGCCAUCCUCUGUGUGCGGUUGCUGCUCAGGCCACAGUCGAUUACUUCUCCUCCAGCACUGUGCCCACAUUGUAGGCAAGAAGAAGGGCAGAACAGAGCAUGGUGGAGGAUGCCCUAUCUGAGUCUGCCCUGGUGCAGGAGCUCUCUUAGAAGUCCUGCACAACUUCCAUCUACACUUCAUGUGCCUGAAUUGGGUUGUCUGGUCAUCCCAUCUACAAGAGAGGCUGGAGAAUAUAGUUUUUAGCUGGGUAUGCCUCUGCUAGCAAAAGCAGAAUUCUGUUAGUAAGGAAUAAGAGGGAAGAGAUAUUGGAUUCAAUAGAUAUUGAAUUCUAUGUUAAAGGUAGAAUUCUGUUUGCUGCCUUUAGGUCUCACUUGCUAUUGCACAAGAUCAUUGUGAAGCUGGAAUUACAAAGUGGAUGUCUAUUAAACCCACCCCAGCCAACUCUGCCACACAUCAUGUUUUUCAUUUUCCAUCCAGUUGUCGUGAAGUCACACUAUACAAUCAUUAAGGGACGGGAGGAAUUUGUAAGCACCUGGGAGACCCAUCUCUCACAAUGUUUAUUUGAAAGACCAUUUAGCCAAUUCAAGAGACUGCGCUAUGAACAAUAAUUUGUCUUUUUAGAGGAGUGUGGCGGAAGUCAAGCCAUAAUGCUUUAUUUUGGGGAAUUUAUAUCAUUUCAUCCCUGGAUAGAUUUUAACACCACAUGUAGGAAAUAAAAACAAGAUUUUUUCUUGUUCUCAGAGCAUUUUGAGGACAAUAAUAUCUUUGAGAUCAGGUUUGGGUUGGUUUUCUCUAGUUCCUCUGCAAAUGUUAGCAAAAGCCUAUUGUGAUAAUGCUCAAAUCUCUGUGAGAAAAAUGAUGGUAAAACACAGCAGGAUGAUUUCCUCUGUAGGAAAUCCCCCCACCCCUGCAAAUAAAAAUCCCUCUCCAAAUAAAACUCAGUUAUAAAUGCCUUCUUCCCCUUCAUGCAAGUAGCACUUUGUCCCUCUACUCUUUUGUCUCAUAGUCGCUCUGCCUUCUGUUAGUUACUUUUGGAUCCAUUCCAUCUCUCCACUUCUCUCUCCACUAUACUAAAAUAACCUUAAAGGUCAGAGACUAAGACACUCAUCUUUUUAUUCCUCAUAGCUUCUAGACCAGUACUGCCCAGUAGAAAUAGAAUGAGUUACUAAAUUUUCUUCACACCAGAUGUUCUUAUAGCUACAUUAAAAAAGUAAAAAGAAAUAAGUAAAGUUAAUUUUAAUAAUAUAUUUUAUUUAGCCCAAUAUAUUCAAAAUAUGAUCAUUUCAACAUGUAAUCAAUAUAACACAAUUAUUGAGAUAUUUUACAUUCUUUU